CCACAGACCAUUUCUGCGGUUUGCGUUCGAAGGAUGGGCAUACCAGUACAAUGUCCUGCCCUUCGGUCUGUCCCUGUCUCCCAAUGUCUUUACAAAUGUU